rnacentral:rRNA from 1 species
UUAAUGAGAGUUUGAUCCUGGCUCAGGACGAACGCUGGCGGCGUGCCUAAUACAUGCAAGUAGAACGCUGAGGUUUGGUGUUUACACUAGACUGAUGAGUUGCGAACGGGUGAGUAACGCGUAGGUAACCUGCCUCAUAGCGGGGGAUAACUAUUGGAAACGAUAGCUAAUACCGCAUAAGAGUAAUUAACACAUGUUAGUUAUUUAAAAGGAGCAAUUGCUUCACUGUGAGAUGGACCUGCGUUGUAUUAGCUAGUUGGUGAGGUAAAGGCUCACCAAGGCGACGAUACAUAGC